UGAGGAAUAUUGGUCAAUGGGCGAGAGCCUGAACCAGCCAAGUAGCGUGAAGGAUGACUGCCCUACGGGUUGUAAACUUCUUUUAUAAGGGAAUAAAGUUCUCUACGUGUAGAGUUUUGUAUGUACCUUAUGAAUAAGCAUCGGCUAACUCCGUGCCAGCAGCCGCGGUAAUACGGAGGAUGCGAGCGUUAUCCGGAUUUAUUGGGUUUAAAGGGAGCGUAGACGGCGGUUUAAGUCAGCUGUGAAAUGGUGCGGCUCAACCGUAGCACUGCAGUUGAAACUGGACGGCUUGAGUGCAGUUGAGGCAGGCGGAAUUCGUGGUGUAGCGGUGAAAUGCUUAGAUAUCACGAAGAACCCCGAUUGCGAAGGCAGCCUGCUAAGCUGCAACUGACGUUGAUGCUCGAAAGUGUGGGUAUCAAACAGG
rnacentral:rRNA from 1 species